rnacentral:rRNA from 1 species
CAGUAGCCGCGGUAAAACGAAGGGGGCUAGCGUUGUUCGGAAUUACUGGGCGUAAAGCGCACGUAGGCGGCUUUGUAAGUUAGAGGUGAAAGCCUGGGGCUCAACUCCAGAAUUGCCUUUAAGACUGCAUCGCUUGAACGUCGGAGGGGUGAGUGGAAUUCCGAGUGUAGAGGUGAAAUUCGUAGAUAUUGGGAAGAACACCGGUGGCGAAGGCGGCGACCUGGUCCUUGACUGACGCUGAGGCGCGAAAGCUAGGGGAGCAAACAGGAUUAGAUACCCCGGUAGUCCCUGUCUCUUAUAC